GAGAGUUUGAUCCUGGCUCAGGAUGAACGCUAGCUACAGGCUUAACACAUGCAAGUCGAGGGGCAGCAUGGUCUUAGCUUGCUAAGGCCGAUGGCGACCGGCGCACGGGUGAGUAACACGUAUCCAACCUGCCGUCUACUCUUGGACAGCCUUCUGAAAGGAAGAUUAAUACAAGAUGGCAUCAUGAGUCCGCAUGUUCACAUGAUUAAAGGUAUUCCGGUAGACGAUGGGGAUGCGUUCCAUUAGAUAGUAGGCGGGGUAACGGCCCACCUAGUCUUCGAUGGAUAGGGGUUCUGAGAGGAAGGCCCCCCACAUUGGAACUGAGACACGGUCCAAACUCCUACGGGAGGCAGCAGUGAGGAAUAUUGGUCAAUGGGCGAGAGCCUGAACCAGCCAAGUAGCGUGAAGGAUGACUGCCCUAUGGGUUGUAAACUUCUUUUAUAAAGGAAUAAAGUCGGGUAUGGAUACCCGUUUGCAUGUACUUUAUGAAUAAGGAUCGGCUAACUCCGUGCCAGCAGCCGCGGUAAUACGGAGGAUCCGAGCGUUAUCCGGAUUUAUUGGGUUUAAAGGGAGCGUAGAUGGAUGUUUAAGUCAGUUGUGAAAGUUUGCGGCUCAACCGUAAAAUUGCAGUUGAUACUGGAUAUCUUGAGUGCAGUUGAGGCAGGCGGAAUUCGUGGUGUAGCGGUGAAAUGCUUAGAUAUCACGAAGAACUCCGAUUGCGAAGGCAGCCUGCUAAGCUGCAACUGACAUUGAGGCUCGAAAGUGUGGGUAUCAAACAGGAUUAGAUACCCUGGUAGUCCACACGGUAAACGAUGAAUACUCGCUGUUUGCGAUAUACUGCAAGCGGCCAAGCGAAAGCGUUAAGUAUUCCACCUGGGGAGUACGCCGGCAACGGUGAAACUCAAAGGAAUUGACGGGGGCCCGCACAAGCGGAGGAACAUGUGGUUUAAUUCGAUGAUACGCGAGGAACCUUACCCGGGCUUAAAUUGCAGAUGAAUUACGGUGAAAGCCGUAAGCCGCAAGGCAUCUGUGAAGGUGCUGCAUGGUUGUCGUCAGCUCGUGCCGUGAGGUGUCGGCUUAAGUGCCAUAACGAGCGCAACCCUUGUUGUCAGUUACUAACAGGUUCUGCUGAGGACUCUGACAAGACUGCCAUCGUAAGAUGUGAGGAAGGUGGGGAUGACGUCAAAUCAGCACGGCCCUUACGUCCGGGGCUACACACGUGUUACAAUGGGGGGUACAGAGGGCCGCUACCACGCGAGUGGAUGCCAAUCCCAAAAACCUCUCUCAGUUCGGACUGGAGUCUGCAACCCGACUCCACGAAGCUGGAUUCGCUAGUAAUCGCGCAUCAGCCACGGCGCGGUGAAUACGUUCCCGGGCCUUGUACACACCGCCCGUCAAGCCAUGGGAGCCGGGGGUACCUGAAGUGCGUAACCGCGAGGAGCGCCCUAGGGUAAAACUGGUGACUGGGGCUAAGUCGUAACAAGGUAGCCG
rnacentral:rRNA from 1 species